rnacentral:pre_miRNA from 10 species
UUCAGGCGCAGGGCAGUACCUGCCCACCACACAUUGGGCUGACCCAAGACCACUGUGCGUGUGACAGCGGAUGAUCUGUGCCUAGGCAGAACGAAC